GACGAACGCUGGCGGCGUGCUUAACACAUGCAAGUCGAACGGAAAGGCCCUGCUUUUGUGGGGUGCUCGAGUGGCGAACGGGUGAGUAACACGUGAGUAACCUGCCCUUUACUUUGGGAUAACUUCAGGAAACUGGGGCUAAUACCGGAUAGGAGCUCCUGCUGCAUGGUGGGGGUUGGAAAGUUUCGGCGGUUGGGGAUGGACUCGCGGCUUAUCAGCUUGUUGGUGGGGUAGUGGCUUACCAAGGCUUUGACGGGUAGCCGGCCUGAGAGGGUGACCGGCCACAUUGGGACUGAGAUACGGCCCAGACUCCUACGGGAGGCAGCAGUGGGGAAUAUUGCACAAUGGGCGGAAGCCUGAUGCAGAAACGCCGCGUGCGGGAUGAAGGCCUUCGGGUUGUAAACCGCUUUCGCCUGUGACGAAGCGUGAGUGACGGUAAUGGGUAAAGAAGCACCGGCUAACUACGUG
rnacentral:rRNA from 1 species